rnacentral:rRNA from 1 species
UACGGAGGGUGCGAGCGUUGUCCGGAAUCACUGGGCGUAAAGCGCACGUAGGCGGAUUCUUAAGUCAGGGGUGAAAUCCUGGAGCUCAACUCCAGAACUGCCUUUGAUACUGGGAAUCUUCGAGUCCGGGAGAGGUGAGUGGAACUGCGAGUGUAGAGGUGAAAUUCGUAGAUAUUCGCAAGAACACCAGUGGCGAAGGCGGCUCACUGGCCCGGUACUGACGCUGAGGUGCGAAAGCGUGGGGAGCAAACAGG